UGAAGAAGACUCACAUCUAUGGACUUAAGCGAAUUAAAGACCCCAGCGAAGCCACGUUGCGUCUUCUUCCCACGUCCAUCGACGCCAACAGCUGCUCCCCAUCUCUGCCACGUUGCGGUCAAUUUCACCGGUCAAUUGAUCGCAUACUCCCACGACCAGCUGCUUCGAAGAUUUCUACGAAGCUGCUCCUUCGUCCCCAGCUUCUCCAGCAGCUCAUGCAAAUCCAACCACGGUCGAAGUUGCUUCUCCGGUCACCUCUCCAAGCCGUGAGAAGUCCAGCAUCACGUCUUCGGUCCAGCUCGCAAGAAGUCAGUCCAUCGGGCCCUUGCUGUUUCUCUCGCCAGGCCCAAGCUGCAGUCCACGAGCCAACAAAUUCAGCCCGUGGAAUCCAAUUUUGGCCCAACAGCUUUCAGCCCAAGAGCCAAGCAGUCUUCAGUUUUUUUUUUCUCAGUCCAUUGAAGUUGCAUUUCGGCCCAAGCUCAGUCAGCCCAUCUCAAUUUAAAGCCCAGUUCAGUUUAGUUUCAAGCCCAGCAUCAGUUAUAUUUCAGUGAGGCCCAGCAAGUUCAGCCCAUCUUGGGCCCGUGAAGCAAGUCGGCCCAAGUU
rnacentral:lncRNA from 1 species